GAGGUUGUGGCUCAGUGGUAAAGCGCUUGCCUAGCAUGUGUGAGGCACUGGAUUCAAUCCCCAGCACCUCA
rnacentral:tRNA from 1 species